CAAAAUGUUUGCUACAGAAGAAAAGGAGAGGUAGAGGAAAUAUAGUAGAUCUGAAAGAUAUAAUUGGCCUCAUAUAUAUCAUUCUGAAGGGAAAGAAUUCACCUUUUAAACACUUAGUGAAUAGGAAGGAAUUACAGUGGUCCAACAAAAAAACAAAGAAAAUUAUGCAGGAGGAUAAACAAAAUCAAGACAUAAUUCAGAAUGAACUCUGGGAUUCCAUUCCUCCACCUCACCCAGAAUGGGAUCCUACAAUAAAAGAUCUAUACAUGCAAGGAAUCGCAAGGUUCUGUCUUCCAUUAUUGACACUCCAGGAAUUGUCAGAUGGAACGGAACUAUCUAAGGAGCCAAUUGAUGAUGUCUUAAGCAGUAUAAAAAGAGCAAAAUACAUGCAAAAUAUAUAUCCUACCCCCAACAGUGUAAAAAAUGCUGUAGUAGUUACAAUGCAGAAAGAAGAGGAAAGUGUAAAAAUGGAAAAAGUAAUGCUUUUGAAAGAAAGAAAAUCAUUGGCAAUUUCACAGGAAAUUCAGUUAGACAUCAAAGAGCAAGAUAAAAAUCUGCCAAAAGUUAAAGAUGAAUCAAAUGAGAUUUUGACCAGUACUGAUACAUACAUACCACCACCUCAUUUAAAAUUGGAUAUGAGGAGAAGAAAAACAAACCAUGGAACUGAGGUGAGAAGAUACUUUCUUCCAGAACUAUCCUACCAGAAAUCAUCAGAUGCAGUGAGAAAACCAAGCAAAGAGUCCAUUGAGGGUGAUAUCACAAGUGGUACACAAAAAUUAAAAGAAUUUAUGCCACAGACAGAAAAGGAUGAUGUAAAGAAAUUAGCUGAGAAAGGCACAAUGUAUCCAAAAGCCAAAGGUUUGGAAGGAAAUGGAGCACUUUCACAAGACCUACCACCAGAUUCUAAAGAGCAAGGGAAAACAGAUCCAGAAGGCAAAAGACAAGGGAAAGUCCACAAAGGUCGUCAAGAACAGGGGAAAGCAGUUGCAGCAGGUAAAGCCCAGGACAAAUGGGAUCAAGAAGGCAAAGGUCAAGGGGAAGUGAAUCAAAACAAUAGAAAGCAAGGAAAAAUAGACCAAGAAAGUGGAAGUGAGCAGGAAAUGGUUCCCCAUGUACAUAUGCCUUCCGAACCUCCUCUGAUUUAUCAUAAGGCAGGAAAAGAAGAUACGCACAAAAUAACAAGAUCUGCUAUUUCACCAUUACAGGACCAAAAAUUAUCUGACAGCAGGCAGAUGAUGCAUACAAAAUCAACUGGGGAGGAGAAAUCACAUGAUGUAAAACCCAUACAAAAAUACAAGGCCCAGAAAGAGAUGGAGAGAAAAAACACAGUAAAUAUGAAACAUAGAGUACACCCUGAGGAUGUGACUUUCAAGGCAG
rnacentral:lncRNA from 1 species